UACAGAGGGUGCGAGCGUUAAUCGGAAUUACUGGGCGUAAAGCGCGCGUAGGCGGCUUUUCAAGUCGAUUGUGAAAUCCCCGGGUCUUAACCUGGGAACUGCAGUCGAGACUGUCUAGCUAGAGUAUGGGAGAGGGAAGUGGAAUUCAGGUGUAGCGGUGAAAGUGCGUAGAUAUCGAGAGGAACACCUGCGGCGAAGGCGGGUGCUGGGCUGAUACUGACGCUGAGGCGCGAAAAGCUAGGGGGAGCGAACGGG
rnacentral:rRNA from 1 species